AAAAAACAAAACAAACACAUAAAAUAUUAGCGAAAGUCUCUCAUCUAAUGAGAAGCACAUAGAGCUGAUAAACAUAAAAAUCGAAACUUUAUUUAUCUUUGUUGUUCUCUUUGGGUCACAAUAGACCGGCCCAUUAGCCUAGUCACACCGGCCCAUUAGCCCAGUCAACUCCAUUGUAGAAGAGAGGACUUGAUUUUGGGUGAGAUUGAGAGAGAGAAGAAGAGAAUCGUCAAGUGUUUAUGGUGGUGAAAGUUAUAAGAAUCGUUAAAUUUGACGAAAGGGUACGUAAAAGAACUUCCUUUUUGAUGAUUUAUCUAUAUAUUAGACGUAAUUGAUUGUUUCUGAUUUAAGUAUCGUGGCAUUGUGAAAAAUUUGAUAGGCACGAGACUAUGCACACCAGUUGCUCGACGAAUUGUCUAACUAAGAUAUUCUUUCUCUAAAUCUGCUUUUUUUUUUUUGUUUGGUUCUUUAAUUAUGUUUUUGCUGUUAACUGUUCGAAUUUGUGAUCAUACCCUUUAGAUUAUUAGAAUCAUAUCUUCUCUAGUGAUAUGUGUGUGAAUGAAUCAAUGAUAAAAGACUCUCCUUUUUCUUAAUCAAACUGUGCUUUGUACGUAAUUUUUAUCUAUUAUAUUCUCAUGACAUUUUGAUCCACUUGUGAUCAGCACAAGAUCAGUAUAAAGUUGAAGUUGAUCAAUUUGUGGAGCAUGGAUCCUGAAUAUACCGACGAUUUAUUAAACCAUUUGGAGAAGCAAACUGAAUUGCUUUUAGAAACUCGUAAAACGAUGACUCAAGAACUCCAAACACUUGAGGUGGAAGAAGAGAUGAUGAUGCGGAAAUUCUAUGAGUUAAUGUCUAGACAGCGCUUAAAUAAGAAGAAAAUGGAGAAGACUCAAAAUGUGUCACAUGGUAAAGAAAUAGUUGAAGUGGAAGAUACUUCUAGUACAUCCAGAGAGUUAAUCGUAUAUGUAAGGAAAAGGAAAAAGAAUCAAAAGCCAACAUAAUGAAGAUAUCCAUUUCUUGUUUAAGUGAUGGAUAUAGUUUUCACAUUGUUUAUGGUGUGCAAUAAUAAGUUGUAUUUUUUGAGUGAUGAAAAUUUAUACGGGUAUGUAGUCAUGAACCUUGUAAGAUGUUCUUGGGGUCAUAAGAGUUUUAUCUGAUCCUGCGAGACGAUAAUUUAAUAACAUUACAAGCAAAAUAUAUCCAUUGAAGUAAUCGUACUUUAAAGAUGCUAUGGAGAGAUUAU